rnacentral:tRNA from 1 species
AGAAAAGUAUUUAAAUAAUAUAAUAAAGCCUAAUUUGCAAUUAGAAAUUGAAGCUAUUCCUUUUCU